AACACAGGCUGGGUUACUUUAAAAUAACACACACAGUUGAUUAUUACAGGUAACUGCCAGAAUAAAGGAAACGCCAACAUAGUGUUUUAAUAAGGUGUUGGGCCACCAGGUAACUGCCAGAAUAAAGGAAACGCCAACAUAGUGUUUUAAUAAGGUGUUGGGCCACCAGGUAACUGCCAGAAUAAAGGAAACACCAACAUAGUGUCUUAAUAAGGUGUUGGUUCACCAGGUAACUGCCAGAAUAAAGGAAACACCAACAGUGUUUUAAUAAGGUGCUGGGUCACCAGGUAACUGCCAGAAUAAAGGAAACACCAACAGUGUUUUAAUAAGGUGUUGGGCCACCAGGUAACUGCCAGAAUAAAGGAAACACCAACAUAGUGUUUUAAUAAGGUGUUGGGCCACCAGGUAACUGCCAGAAUAAAGGAAACACCAACAUAGUGUUUUAAUAAAAAGCGUUGGGCCACCUGGUAAAUGCCAGAAUAAAGGAAACACCAACAUAGUGUUUUAAUAGGGUGUUGGGCCACCACCAACCAGAACAGCUUCAAUACACCUUGACAUAG